rnacentral:lncRNA from 1 species
AAACAACAUACUAUGGCCAAUUUUUGUAUGCAAAGCGAAAUAUAUUGCUGCAUCGGAUGCUACAAAAGAAGCGAUGUGAUUGCGAAAGUUUAUUAUCGAGCUGGGAGUUGUACCUUCCAUUGAUGGUCUCGUCCUGCUGUAUUGUGAUAGAUCCAGUGCCAUAGCUCAGACAAAAGAACCUAAGUCAUACCAUCACACAACAUAUUCUAUGCCACUAUCACCUAGUGUGAGAGAUCAUGAACUGAGGUGAUGUUGAGCUCAGAAGAUCGACGAAAAGGAGAACCUAGCCGACCCCUUCACUAAAGCUCUCGAGAUCAAAG